AUUGCUGAAGGGUGGAGGGAGAGCCUCCCCCUGCCUGUCAGUGUGAACUUGGCUGUUCUACACAGCAGCACCCGGGGUUCCCUGCAUGGUGGCUCUUUUGUGAAAUAACGUGAAACAUCCAGUGAAGAAGUACAUUUGUGUGUGUUAUGGAUUCUACUGGAAAUAUGCACAUUUUCUGGAUGUCUUUCUCCCGGUUGAAGCAAUGAGAAAAU